GACCGUUUUUAGCAUAAUGAGAUGAUAAAGUUCUAAUACUCAAGCAAAUGUGAUGUUUGAAGACAUGGUAUCAUUUCAGUUUGUUAGCUUGUGACCAUGCCUUAAUGCAACGUCUCUGUAUGGCAAAUGAUUUUUGUCACCUUAAGAGUGUUUAUGGAACAUUCUUUAGGUUUUUAUACACUUAUAUUUCCUCCGUAACAUAGGGUACAUUAGUAAGUGUGAGUAACAAGAAGAAAAGACAGGUUUGAGAGAAAUUGUAGCUGCUUUUCUGGAUGUCUUCCCUUUGCACGGCAAAGGGAGUGUGCAUGGCUGUUUCGAUGUGAUGCUCUGUGACAGGCUCAGCCCUCGUUGGGCGCCACGUGCCCUGCUGCUCCCGCCGUUAGCUCCUCCCCAUUGCACAUCACUGGGCAAAAAUCUCACUUUGCCGUCUCAGUGAUGCUAGGCUCAGAACACAACCCUAAACGAAGGGCGCCCAUUGGCUAUCCAGUGAUGCGUCACCAAAAUUGGCCUGGUUUUGAGCCACACAGACAAAAGGAUAGAGAGAACGUCAUUGCUGGGUGAGGAGGAUCAUUCUUUGGGAUGGAAGUGGGGGCUCCAUUCCCUUUGUUUUAUUUAGUUUUAACAUUUAUCCAAUUCUUACAAAGAAGCGUACAAUCACAAGUGGCCUUAACAGUCAAAACCAUGUGAAGUUCUGUAAAUGAGAUGGUUUGAUGUUUGUGAAGACCUUUAGGAAGAUUUGUAAACACGAUUAUUCAGUGGAAUUUGGAGCAGCAGGUGUGUACAAGAAACAGAAACACGACUGACAUUUAUUCUCAGAUUCCUGUCGCCUUAAUUUUCACAAUCUCUUAGAACAAAUCUAAGAUGCUCAGCUUGUGUGUACUGUACAUGAUACAUCUCUAUGUAUCACUGUGUUUCUCCUGUCUGUAUAAUCUUGUAAGUUAAAUAUGACUUAUUUUUGACAUGCUGUAUAAUAAAUAUUGUAAACUCUAUUAGAAGCAUUUCGGCACUUUAGCUUCAUCUUCUGUCAGAAUACUGUAUGUACGCCUUUUCAUUGGGGAUGAAGUGCUUUAGCCUCCCAAGGCAUUCCCUGCCAUGUGUGAACAUAUUUCAUUUAUGUUUUGCUGCUGCUUUUUUGUUCAAUAAAGAUGUUAAGAUAUAA